UCGACUGUUUACCAAAAACAUAGCCCUAGAAACUAAUCUAAGGUGAUGCCUGCCCAAUGGUCUACAUUACCCUCUUUUAAAAAAAGGAGAAAAAAAAUUCUUAAUGGCCGCAGUAUUCCUAACUGCAUCAAAGUAGCACAAUAAAUUGCCGCUUAAUUAGCGGAUUGUAUGAAUGGUAAUACGAGAGUUUCACUGUCUUAAGUGUAAAAAUUAAAAAAUUGAAAUAGUAGUUAAGAUGCUACUUCAAAUCGUUAGACGAUAAGACCCUAUAAAGCUUAACUAUAAUCUAUCACUAUAAAUAGUGAUAGACUGGUAGUUUACUUGGGGCAAGGACUUUUUAAAAAUAAAAAAAGUAAGCAAAAUAAUAAAACAUUUAUUGUAUAAAUAAUAAUUUUAACAGUUACAAUGUAGGCUAUAAUGACCCGUUUUAUCUGUAAAAAAAGGAAAACAAUUAUUAAAUAAAAGCUACUUUAGGGAUAACAGGAUAAUUUUAUUAAAGAGUUCAUAUCGCUAAUAAAGUUUGUCACCUCGAUGUUGAAUUAGGAUAUCCUAGCGGAGCAGAAACUGCUAAAGGUAGGUCUGUUCGACCUUUAAACAUCUUACAUGAUUUGAGUUCAUUC
rnacentral:rRNA from 1 species